AUUGAACGCUGGCGGCAGGCCUAACACAUGCAAGUCGAGCGGAUGAGAGGAGCUUGCUCCUCGAUUCAGCGGCGGACGGGCGAGUAAUGCCUAGGAAUCUGCCCAGUAGUGGGGGACAACGUUUCGAAAGGAACGCUAAUACCGCAUACGUCCUACGGGAGAAAGUGGGGGAUCUUCGGACCUCACGCUAUUGGAUGAGCCUAGGUCGGAUUAGCUAGUUGGUGGGGUAAAGGCCUACCAAGGCGACGAUCCGUAACUGGUCUGAGAGGAUGAUCAGGCACACUGGAACUGAGACACGGUCCAGACUCCUACGGGAGGCAGCAGUGGGGAAUAUUGGACAAUGGGCGAAAGCCUGAUCCAGCCAUGCCGCGUGUGUGAAGAAGGCCCUCGGGUCGUAAAGCACUUUAAGUUGGGAGGAAGGGCUUACAGCGAAUACCUGUGAGUUUUGACGUUACCGACAGAAUAAGCACCGGCUAACUUCGUGCCAGCCGCCGCAGUAA
rnacentral:rRNA from 1 species